rnacentral:rRNA from 1 species
CUGGCUCAGGACGAACGCUGGCGGCGUGCCUAAAACAUGCAAGUCGAACGAGAUCUUCGGAUCUAGUGGCGAACGGCGGAGUAAGACAUGAGCAACGUGCCCCUAUGACUGGGAUAUACAGAGGAAACUCUGGGUAAUACCGGAUGUGGCUAUUCCUUGGCAUCUUGGAAUAACUAAACGGAUUUAUUCGCAUAGGGAGCGGCUCAUGACCCAUCAGGUAGUUGGUAGGGUAAUGGCCUACCAAGCCGACGACGGGUAGCGGGUCUGAGAGGAUGAUCCGCCCGAGUGGGACUGAGACACGGCCCACACACCUACGGGUGGCAGCAGUUGGGAAUAUUGCACAAUGGGGGAAACCCUGAUGCAGCGACGCCGCGUGGACGAUGAAGGGUUUAGGCCUGUAAAGUCCUUUUGCUAGGAAAGACUUAGGACGGUACCUAGCGAAUAAGCUCCGGCUAACUACGUGCCAGCAGCCGCGGUAAUACGUAGGGAGCAAGCGUUGUCCGGAUUUACUGGGCGUAAAGGGCGCGUAGGCGGCCUAUUAAGUGUGGUGUGAAAUCU